GUUGCAUAUUUCAUCAUUCUAAUCACACAAUGCCAAUGUGUGUGCGGCUGCGGUAAAUAUGGGUUGCUUCAAACACAGAGCAAGUUUUGUCGAAGCUGAUGAUGGACUUUCAGAACAAGCAUCAGAAAUCUGCGCCACUCGAGUUUGGUGAGACUUGUCAGAAGAUGUUUGAAUUAGUGUGAACUGCAUCGCAAUAACUUUGAUGGACCGCAAAGGGCAAAGGUUUUGAGGGAGUGUCUGUUGAAAAGCCUUGCUUACUUGGACCGUCCCAUUCAUCCGGUCCUACUGAAGUGUGCCUCUUCUUCUCAGCCUGGCUGUCCACCUCUUGCUCUCCUGCCUCUCGAUUGCCAUUCUCUUCUCCUGAAAAAAGGAAAACAUUCAACAAAUUUCAUACAACUAAUACAAACUGAGGGGUGUAAAUAAUGUAAAAUUGUGUACCUAAUUGAAAAUGACCAUAAAAAUGAGUUAAAAACAAAUAACACCCCAAAGAUCUCAUGUUUUGUUUUCAAUAAACUGUUCAUCAAUGACCAGUGAAUGUAAAUGAGAAUGAGUGUAUUGGGCAGUAUAUGUUCUGUACAUUAACACAUUAUCAGCCCAGCUGCAUGCUUUUAUGUGAAAGGAUUUCCCAUGGAUUCUUGCAGGAAAAGAAGGAAGUUCCAUUAAACAGGAAGGAAAGCCAUGUGUGGGGGAGAGGUGGCUAUUUAUUACUGUUUGAUCUAUUGUGGGGUGAGUUAGAAUGUGCGUUAUAGGAUGUAGGGCUGAUUUGCAGUCUUUGGAUUCAGACAGAUCGUGCUUAGGGAUAUUUGGGUAUCUCGCUCCAGGAAGAAAGUGCUUUAAAGCCCUUGUUAAAUAGACACCACCUACAAAUGCACAGCCGUGACAGUGAUGGGACUGCUUGCUUGGUGAGCAAUCUCGAAUGUACUUACUGAAGGAAAAUAAACACUAACCCACUGACUGGGUUGAGGAAGCUUUUAAUUGAGUAGUGCCUGUUUCAGUCUCUCUUUAUAUCUCCAAUACAUUGUUCAGACAUUUUAAUACAUUUCCAUUGCCAGGCUAAUAUAUUUAUGAUUCGUGUUUUACAUAUCUAGUUUUGCUGAUUAUAUAAUACCCAAGAUGUUUUCAUUCAUCAAUUUACCAAUUUUCUUUACCGCUUACCCUUUACAAGAGUCGUGUGUGAGUUGGAGCCAAUCCAAACUGGCAUAAAGCAAGAGGCAGAGUAAAGUCUGAACGAGUUGCUAGCCAAUUAUAGGGUACAUAAUAUACAUUUCCAGCAUGGUCCAAAAUGAGUAUCAAAGGUUGCUGUUUGGUAAUCAUUUGUUAUUUCUUGGUGCUCAUCAUUUUUCUGACCCACAUACUUAGUUGCACAUAUAAAUAUUUAUUUACACUGCAAAUAAUUGGGCGGCAUCUGUCCUGUCCACAGUCUCUCAGUCUUCUACAUACUUCUAAUGGAGUCCAAAUUUAACAAAAACAAAUUUCUCACUUGGCACACGCUGUGGUCAAGGUGAGCCAUUUAUUGAGCUGGCAACUGCCUCAACGAUCAUAAGGAAACACCGCAACGAUCAGAGGGAAACUCCGCCAUAGUUUUCUCUUGUACUGAAGUGCACUCUUGCAGCAUCAUCAUUGUGAUGGUUGUUGCCAUUCAUGAUAAUGUCUAACCUUCAUUAGUCUUGGUACACAAAUGCAUGAGAAGACAUCAAUUAAUAUACUAAUUUAUGAACAGCCACACAUAUACAACAUCACCUGGAAGAAAAUACUGCACUUGAUACACUAUAUUCGUGUGUUCACUAAGGAUGCAACAAUACUCGAUUUUAUAUUGAACCGUCCAUAAGCCCUCUUCGAUUAAAUACGCACAAACAUUCGAUCCAAAUGAAAGCUCCCAAAAUGUAUUUUCCGAACUUUUUUUUGCUCGCGCUACAAUGUCCGUCGCGCAGGCCAAGCUGUCCACUUUGCCUUGGAUAAAAGAAAGAAAGAGUUUUUCCCCGCUGGGUACCCCCUCCCCACCUCCUCCAAACUGGGCGUGAGCUGCUUUUGUUCAUAGCACACGAGGAUCAUUGCUAGCAAGGAAAGAGCUUCAACGUCUUACAGAUCUGCAGUACAAUGAGUGGCAAAUUAAGAGCAUUGUACUUCAAAGUCGUCCUGUUUAUGAAAGUCGACUGUCAUAUAUUGGUGUUGUGAAGGAAUAAGCAGAUGUGACUUCUGUGACGUUUGUUAACUUUUUUAGUGCUCUGACAACACUCGCGCACAGACUAGAUAUCAUCAAAUAGCAACCUAGAUGUGCUACG